CCCUGGCUCAGGAUGAACGCGGGCGGCGUGCUUAACACAUGCAAGUCGAACGAUGAUCCCAGCUUGCUGGGGGAUUAGUGGCGAACGGGUGAGUAACACGUGAGUAACCUGCCCUUAACUCUGGGAUAAGCCUGGGAAACUGGGUCUAAUACCGGAUAUGACUCCUCAUCGCAUGGUGGGGGGUGGAAAGCUUUAUUGUGGUUUUGGAUGGACUCGCGGCCUAUCAGCUUGUUGGUGAGGUAAUGGCUCACCAAGGCGACGACGGGUAGCCGGCCUGAGAGGGUGACCGGCCACACUGGGACUGAGACACGGCCCAGACUCCUACGGGAGGCAGCAGUGGGGAAUAUUGCACAAUGGGCGAAAGCCUGAUGCAGCGACGCCGCGUGAGGGAUGACGGCCUUCGGGUUGUAAACCUCUUUCAGUAGGGAAGAAGCGAAAGUGACGGUACCUGCAGAAGAAGCGCCGGCUAACUA
rnacentral:rRNA from 2 species